UACGUAGGGUGCAAGCGUUGUCCGGAUUUAUUGGGCGUAAAGAGCUCGUAGGCGGUCUGUCGCGUCUGCUGUGAAAACUCAGGGCUUAACCCUGAGCUUGCAGUGGGUACGGGCAGACUAGAGUGCGGUAGGGGAAACUGGAAUUCCUGGUGUAGCGGUGAAAUGCGCAGAUAUCAGGAGGAACACCGGUGGCGAAGGCGGGUCGCUGGGACGUAACUGACGCUGAGGAGCGAAAGCAUGGGGAGCGAACAGG
rnacentral:rRNA from 1 species